GGGCUAUUAGCUCAGUGGUAGAGCGCGCCCCUGAUAAUUGCGUCGUUGUGGGGCGAGGUCUCUGGUUCAAGUCCAGGAUGGCCCA
rnacentral:tRNA from 2 species